CGGGGCGUAGCGCAGCCUGGUAGCGCACCAGUCUGGGGGACUGGUGGUCGGAGGUUCGAAUCCUCUCGCCCCGACCA
rnacentral:tRNA from 1 species